rnacentral:rRNA from 1 species
GAUGAACGCUGGCGGCGUGCUUAACACAUGCAAGUCGAACGAUGAGGCCCAGCUUGCUGGGUGGAUUAGUGGCGAACGGGUGAGUAACACGUGAGUAACCUGCCCUUGACUCUGGGAUAAGCCUGGGAAACUGGGUCUAAUACCGGAUACGACCAUUGCCCGCAUGGGUUGGUGGUGGAAAGCUUUUGUGGUUUUGGAUGGACUCGCGGCCUAUCAGCUUGUUGGUGAGGUAAUGGCUCACCAAGGCGACGACGGGUAGCCGGCCUGAGAGGGUGACCGGCCACACUGGGACUGAGACACGGCCCAGACUCCUACGGGAGGCAGCAGUGGGGAAUAUUGCACAAUGGGCGAAAGCCUGAUGCAGCGACGCCGCGUGAGGGAUGACGGCCUUCGGGUUGUAAACCUCUUUCAGUAGGGAAGAAGCGAGAGUGACGGUACCUGCAGAAGAAGCGCCGGCUAACUACGUG